GAGUCUACAUUAAAAACCUAUGCUGAAUGAGUAAGACAUAACAAAUGCAAAAACAAAUCAUUAUUUUGUUGGGAGUCCUGGUAAAGAAACGAACCUUCAACUUUUCAAGCACCAUCCAAAUGCCAAAGACUCUUGAGGUUUGUGGAAGGAAGAAAAGCGGUCCAUUGGCAUAGAAAGUUUUCCUUCCUCUGGCUGAAGAUGAACUUAUCAUGGCAUUUUUCUCCACUUUGUACACUUCAAUAGGAGUGAAGAGAGCAUAUGAAAUGCUCUGUGACUGAGAUGUCUGUCUUCAGAGGGAGAGACUUACACUGCUAUGUGAGACUACAUCCCUGGGAAAGAGGAAAUUAUGUUGAAUUUGGAAGUAGAACAUCUGUGUCAGAGUCCCACAUGAUAAUCCUAACUACAGUAACAGUAGUACUGUAAUGAUAAAAACUGUCAUUCAUUGAGUGCUUAUUCUGCCAAGGAACAGCAUUAACUACUUUACCAAUAUUCUCUCAUGUAACUGUUGCAUCAACCCAAGGAGGCUGUCUGAGUUUCUGUGUUACAGAUAGGACAUCGAAGCUUACAGAAUGAGAGACACCUGCCUAAGGUGACAUACUGCUGGCAAUUUGUAACAGAAACAUAAUUAAAAAGCAAGUCUGCCUCCUCUAUUUCACUAUCUGUAAAACAAAGGUAUAAUGUACCUCAAAUUUUGCCAGGCUUCAAUGGGAUUACAUGAGCCCUCUAACCAAAAAAGCAUAUGUGCAGAUGUAUGUAUGAAGGUGAACAGGCCGUAUAGACCAGAUGCAAUAUCAAAAAUAGACUCCACACAAAGCAGGGUACAAGCAGAAGAAAUACAGAGAAACUUUUCUUUUCGUGGUCAUGGUCUGUGCCUUUUCACCCACCAAAAGUCUCCUCUCACUUUUCUGACAUUCAGUGUUACUCACUAGAGAUACCAGCCCAGCUCUUCCCCGCUGGUGUAGCAGGACUGUGACAUACUAUUGGAGGAGGACUAGAGAGUCACUUUCACUUUGGGAUAAGAACGCUUUAGUUGGAGAAGGAGAGAGGAUAGUAGAAAGCUUGAAAAUAAAAGAACAGGCCCACUGAAUUAUCUUCGUGGAUAUAGACUUAGUACUUAACCUUUCGAGGUUUCAGCUCCGUCAAGAACCAUUAAGUGGCUUCUUGACCGCCUUUCCUGGAGUGACUCUCUGAGCAUCAGAAAGCAUCAGAAGGUUUGCUGCCACAGUUCUUCCACAGGAACAAUCCCCAAACUUCAGCCAAUAAGACACUUUUCUAAAUCUCCCCAAGCCAAAACAGCAUCCCCUUAUUAAAAACUUAUUAGUCAGAUUUUAUAGCCUGAUAUAAAGAGAGGGAGUCCUUUUGCCUUCACUUGAUGACGCACUGCUAACAUUUUUGCACUGUCAUUAAAUCUGUGUUAAACACCAAAAGCUAUCUUUCCCUUUCCUAUCAAGAAACACUCCUGACAAUUUCAAUAACAUUAAGCAUAUGUAAGAUUUUCUUCCACCAUGAAACUAGUGAAAUUGUGUGGAUAUCCAACUUAUUUUCAAGGAAGCUGGGCAUCAUCUAAACAACAUCAGUCACGUGGAAUAUGCAAUCACAUAUUUAUAAGUGCAUAUACAAUGUACUUGACUUUGAAGCAUCUGGUUCAUUAAAAGG